rnacentral:rRNA from 1 species
UACGGAGGGGGCAAGCGUUGUUCGGAAUUACUGGGCGUAAAGCGCACGUAGGCGGCUUUGUAAGUUAGAGGUGAAAGCCCAGGGCUUAACCCUGGAAUUGCCUUUAAGACUGCAUCGCUCGAAUUGUGGAGAGGUGAGUGGAAUUCCGAGUGUAGAGGUGAAAUUCGUAGAUAUUCGCAAGAACACCAGUGGCGAAGGCGGCUCACUGGCCCGAUACUGACGCUGAGGCACGAAAGCGUGGGGAGCAAACAGG